UACGUAGGGUGCAAGCGUUGUCCGGAAUUAUUGGGCGUAAAGAGCUCGUAGGCGGUCUGUUGCGUCGGCUGUGAAAACCCGGGGCUCAACUCCGGGCCUGCAGCCGAUACGGGCAGACUAGAGUUCGGCAGGGGAGACUGGAAUUCCUGGUGUAGCGGUGAAAUGCGCAGAUAUCAGGAGGAGCACCGGUGGCGAAGGCGGGUCUCUGGGCCGAUACUGACGCUGAGGAGCGAAAGCGUGGGGAGCAAACAGG
rnacentral:rRNA from 1 species